GGGUUGUGAGGUUAAGCGACUAAGCGUACACGGUGGAUGCCCUGGCAGUCAGAGGCGAUGAAGGACGUGCUAAUCUGCGAUAAGCGUCGGUGAGGUGAUAUGAACCGUUAUAACCGGCGAUUUCCGAAUGGGGAAACCCAGUGUGUUUCGACACACUAUCAUUAACUGAAUCCAUAGGUUAAUGAGGCGAACCGGGGGAACUGAAACAUCUAAGUACCCCGAGGAAAAGAAAUCAACCGAGAUUCCCCCAGUAGCGGCGAGCGAACGGGGAGGAGCCCAGAGCCUGAAUCAGUGUGUGUGUUAGUGGAAGCGUCUGGAAAGGCGCGCGAUACAGGGUGACAGCCCCGUACACAAAAAUGCACAUAUUGUGAGCUCGAUGAGUAGGGCGGGACACGUGGUAUCCUGUCUGAAUAUGGGGGGACCAUCCUCCAAGGCUAAAUACUCUGACUGACCGAUAGUGAACCAGUACCGUGAGGGAAAGGCGAAAAGAACCCCGGCGAGGGGAGUGAAAAGAACCUGAAACCGUGUACGUACAAGCGGUGGGAGCCUCUUUAUGGGGUGACUGCGUACCUUUUGUAUAAUGGGUCAGCGACUUAUAUUCUGUAGCAAGGUUAACCGAAUAGGGGAGCCGAAGGGAAACCGAGUCUUAACUGGGCGUUAAGUUGCAGGGUAUAGACCCGAAACCCGGUGAUCUAGCCAUGGGCAGGUUGAAGGUUGGGUAACACUAACUGGAGGACCGAACCGACUAAUGUUGAAAAAUUAGCGGAUGACUUGUGGCUGGGGGUGAAAGGCCAAUCAAACCGGGAGAUAGCUGGUUCUCCCCGAAAGCUAUUUAGGUAGCGCCUCGUGAAUUCAUCUCCGGGGGUAGAGCACUGUUUCGGCAAGGGGGUCAUCCCGACUUACCAACCCGAUGCAAACUGCGAAUACCGGAGAAUGUUAUCACGGGAGACACACGGCGGGUGCUAACGUCCGUCGUGAAGAGGGAAACAACCCAGACCGCCAGCUAAGGUCCCAAAGUCAUGGUUAAGUGGGAAACGAUGUGGGAAGGCCCAGACAGCCGAUGUUGGCUUAGAAGCAGCCAUCAUUUAAAGAAAGCGUAAUAGCUCACUGGUCGAGUCGGCCUGCGCGGAAGAUGUAACGGGGCUAAACCAUGCACCGAAGCUGCGGCAGCGACACUAUGUGUUGUUGGGUAGGGGCGUUCUGUAAGCCUGUGAAGGUGGCCUGUGAGGGUUGCUGGAGGUAUCAGAAGUGCGAAUGCUGACAUAAGUAACGAUAAAGCGGGUGAAAAGCCCGCUCGCCGGAAGACCAAGGGUUCCUGUCCAACGUUAAUCGGGGCAGGGUGAGUCGACCCUAAGGCGAGGCCGAAAGGCGUAGUCGAUGGGAAACAGGUUAAUAUUCCUGUACUUGGUGUUACUGCGAAGGGGACGGAGAAGGCUAUGUUGGCCGGGCGACGGUUGUCCCGGUUUAAGCGUGUAGGCUGGUUUUCCAGGCAAAUCCGGAAAACCAAGGCUGAGGCGUGAUGACGAGGCACUACGGUGCUGAAGCGACAAAUGCCCUGCUUCCAGGAAAAGCCUCUAAGCAUCAGGUAACAUCAAAUCGUACCCCAAACCGACACAGGUGGUCAGGUAAGAGAAUACCAAGGCGCUUGAGAGAACUCGGGUGAAGGAACUAGGCAAAAUGGUGCCGUAACUUCGGGAGAAGGCACGCUGAUAUGUAGGUGAAGCGACUUGCUCGUGGAGCUGAAAUCAGUCGAAGAUACCAGCUGGCUGCAACUGUUUAUUAAAAAACACAGCACUGUGCAAACACGAAAGUGGACGUAUACGGUGUGACGCCUGCCCGGUGCCGGAAGGUUAAUUGAUGGGGUUAGCGGUAACGCGAAGCUCUUGAUCGAAGCCCGGUAAACGGCGGCCGUAACUAUAACGGUCCUAAGGUAGCGAAAUUCCUUGUCGGGUAAGUUCCGACCUGCACGAAUGGCGUAAUGAUGGCGAGGCUGUCUCCACCCGAGACUCAGUGAAAUUGAACUCGCUGUGAAGAUGCAGUGUACCCGCGGCAAGACGGAAAGACCCGUGAACCUUUACUAUAGCUUGACACUGAACAUUGAGCCUUGAUGUGUAGGAUAGGUGGGAGGCUUUGAAGUGUGGACGCCAGUCUGCAUGGAGCCGACCUUGAAAUACCACCCUUUAAUGUUUGAUGUUCUAACGUUGGCCCGUAAUCCGGGUUGCGGACAGUGUCUGGUGGGUAGUUUGACUGGGGCGGUCUCCUCCUAAAGAGUAACGGAGGAGCACGAAGGUUGGCUAAUCCUGGUCGGACAUCAGGAGGUUAGUGCAAUGGCAUAAGCCAGCUUGACUGCGAGCGUGACGGCGCGAGCAGGUGCGAAAGCAGGUCAUAGUGAUCCGGUGGUUCUGAAUGGAAGGGCCAUCGCUCAACGGAUAAAAGGUACUCCGGGGAUAACAGGCUGAUACCGCCCAAGAGUUCAUAUCGACGGCGGUGUUUGGCACCUCGAUGUCGGCUCAUCACAUCCCCGGGGCUGAAGUAGGUCCCAAGGGUAUGGCUGUUCGCCAUUUAAAGUGGUACGCGAGCUGGGUUUAGAACGUCGUGAGACAGUUCGGUCCCCAUUCUGCCGUGGGCGCUGGAGAACUGAGGGGGGCUGCUCCUAGUACGAGAGGACCGGAGUGGACGCAUCACUGGUGUUCGGGUUGUCAUGCCAAUGGCACUGCCCGGUAGCUAAAUGCGGAAGAGAUAAGUGCUGAAAGCAUCUAAGCACGAAACUUGCCCCGAGAUGAGUUCUCCUGACUCCUUGAGAGUCCUGAAGGAACGUUGAAGACGACGACGUUGAUAGGCCGGGUGUGUAAGCGCAGCGAUGCGUUGAGCUAACCGGUACUAAUGAACCGUGAGGCUUAACCUUACAACGCCGAAG
rnacentral:rRNA from 1 species